UGUUGAGUAGCAAUCACUGCAAAGAUUACAUUGCAGCACCUAGAAGGGAGACAAGGCUAUAUUAGACAACUCAACUUCAACCAUCAUCCCUGUUCUCCCAAAUGCUGACCAACAUAGAUCAUCUCCUCUCCAAAUAGGGGCAGAGGCCAAAGAUGCCCACAAACAGGAUAUCAAUCUGUUAAUCAUACAAAAAGUAUCCUGAAUCAAUCAAGAAGCACCACCAAGGAGCAUUCUUGAGAUCCUGCUGACUGCCAUCCCUACACGCUGAGACAAAUAACCAAAAGGACAAAAAAUUCAAGCAACCAAUCACUAGAUUGUGUCUAUCAGCUCUAUCACACUCUUAGUAUAGCA
rnacentral:lncRNA from 1 species